CUUACCUUCCCAGGGGUACAGAACUCUGCGGGCAGUACCACGCCCGGUUCUGGAGAUGCUGUACUUGAGGGAAUCUUCCCAGAUGGUCCUCAGGAGAUGGUGGACAGCACCACAGGAGAGCAGAGUAGAGCCAGGAAGCCUCCUGUGCAAUGUGAGGACCAGUGUGAAGCGCUAUUGGACUACGGCGACAAGAUCUUUCCACUCUAUCCGUAUAAGGGGCU
rnacentral:lncRNA from 1 species